rnacentral:ncRNA from 2 species
GAUUUAUAGAGAAGAGGGGAGAGAUUAGGCUCUGUGAACCUCUAGCAACCGGAAUAAAUAUGUUCUAUGGUGCUAAUACCUAACCCAAAGGUUCCGUUUAUAGGGA